rnacentral:lncRNA from 1 species
AUGCAAACACUCAAGGAAGGAACCUUUCACAACUUUUCCUGCAGUUCCCUGCCCACGUUUUGCAGCAGGACAGCUCCGGGUUGUUGCAGCCCCGCGGCCGGGAGGUGCCGUGCCCGCAUCCAGCUCAGCAUCACGCAGCGCCGCGGGGCCGGAGGGGGCUGCGGUGCUCGUGGGGGCUGCGGCCGGCAGCGGGCUGUCUCGGGAUGCCGCCGAGCCCCGUUCCCAGCCCUCGAGCCCGCCCGCCAGGUGGGGCCGUUGCCGUUCCGGCGAUGCUCGGGGAGGGAUGCGGAGCGAAGGGACCCGGAGGUGCGGGUCGGACGCGUGGGGAUGUCGGGUUGCAAUCGGGUCCCGGGCAACGGGGUGCUGCGAUGCACUGAGCAGGAAACUGUUCCAGCUCCGACCUCAGGGCUCUUCCAGCCUGUGCUGCAGCUGAUACAAAGAGCAGUUCCUUAUCCACCCCGCUUCCCUGCUGGGCCCGCUGUGUGCCGCGGCCGGAUGCCUUCUUCCCCACGAAGGUCCUUUGGUGGCUUGUGCUCGGGUUCUUCGUCCGCUGGGAACGGAGCUCCGGGCUUCAGGACCGCCUCUGCGCCGGCGAAUGGUGCGGAUGCUUCGCUCGCCUGGUGGAUCAUUUCCCUCGUGCAUCUCCUGGUGGGACUGCAGGAGCUGGCAGCCUGACACACGCCUUGGAUCUCCAUGCCUCAACAACAAAGGCUCCCUGCAUGAGACAAGAUGCAGCGUCGUUAAUAUGGACGGCUCAUCGUCGCACCGUGCAUUGCAAAUUGUGGGACAUGCUUCUUCAGUGGCUGAGCCGUGUUUUAAUGUUACUGUCACAUCAAAUAUUUGUUGCUUUGAGUCCGUAAGUGACAGAGUCAUAAAGUGCGGUGAUAGCCAGCAUCCUAAGUGUUUUUGAUGCCUUAUGAGGAUCCAGAUAUUGAAAAUAAACCACACGCAUCUAGCA